UACGGAGGAUCCGAGCGUUAUCCGGAUUUAUUGGGUUUAAAGGGUGCGUAGGCGGCCUUUUAAGUCAGCGGUGAAAGUCUGUGGCUCAACCAUAGAAUUGCCGUUGAAACUGGGGGGCUUGAGUAUGGUAGAGGCAAGUGGAAUUUCUAGUGUAGCGGUAAAAUGCGUAGAUAUUAGAAGGAACACCAGUGGCGAAGGCGACUUGCUGGGACAAAACUGACGCUGAGACACGAAAGCGUGGGGAGCAAAUAGG
rnacentral:rRNA from 1 species